GUCACUUGUGUCUGUUUUCACCUAACUUGUGGACUAAGACUUAUGGACAGGCACAAAAACAAAUCCCCUUUGUCACCUGGAACUCAUUGUUGAGUGAAUUUCGAUGCAGAGGACAAGGAGUGUU
rnacentral:snoRNA from 1 species